GGCUGGUCCGAAGGUAGUGAGUUAUCUCACUUGAUUGUUCACAGUCAGUUACAGAUUGAACUCCUUGUUCUACUACUUUUCCCCCUCCUCACUACUGCACUUGACUAGUCUUAA
rnacentral:Y_RNA from 1 species